rnacentral:rRNA from 1 species
GGUGAACCUGCGGAGGGAUCAUUACCGAGUGCGGGCCCCUCGGGGCCCAACCUCCCACCCGUGUUGCCCGAACCUAUGUUGCCUCGGCGGGCCCCGCGCCCGCCGACGGCCCCCCUGAACGCUGUCUGAAGUUGCAGUCUGAGACCUAUAACGAAAUUAGUUAAAACUUUCAACAACGGAUCUCUUGGUUCCGGCAUCGAUGAAGAACGCAGCGAAAUGCGAUAACUAAUGUGAAUUGCAGAAUUCAGUGAAUCAUCGAGUCUUUGAACGCACAUUGCGCCCUCUGGUAUUCCGGAGGGCAUGCCUGUCCGAGCGUCAUUGCUGCCCUCAAGCCCGGCUUGGUGUGUUGGGCCCCGUCCCCCCCGCCGGGGGGACGGGCCCGAAAGGCAGCGGCGGCACCGCGUCCGGUCCUCGAGCGUAUGGGGCUUCGUCACCCGCUCUAGUAGGCCCGGCCGGCGCCAGCCGACCCCCAACCUUUAAUUAUCUCAGGUUGACCUCGGAUCAGGUAGGGAUACCCGCUGAACUUAAGCAU